rnacentral:lncRNA from 1 species
UCCAUGCAUCUUUUAGAGGUUGCCCAAAGUGCCCUUGGUCUAAUAUGUGCCUUUUAUGUGCAUUGCAAGGACUUUUUGGUCUUUUAAUUGUUGUCCAAGUGUGUCCAAGAAGUUUCCUUCACAUUAUUUUUGCCACUCAUGCACUAAAGAGGAAGGUGGAGCCUCCUUUUGAAUUUUGAAUGUGCAUGGCAUGAAGUGGGAAACAUGUGAUCUCCAAGAUUUGGCUUCUUGAAUAAGG